rnacentral:rRNA from 1 species
GAUCAUGGCUCAGGAUGAACGCUGGCGGCGUGCUUAAUACAUGCAAGUCGAACGAAGCACCUUGGACAGAAUCCUUCGGGAGGAAGACCAUUGUGACUGAGUGGCGGACGGGUGAGUAACGCGUGGGUAACCUGCCUUGUACAGGGGGAUAACAGUUGGAAACGACUGCUAAUACCGCAUAAGCGCACAGUAUCGCAUGGUGCGGUGUGAAAAACUCCGGUGGUACAAGAUGGACCCGCGU